UGGGGAAUCUUGCACAAUGGGGGAAACCCUGAUGCAGCGACGCCGCGUGAGCGAUGAAGGUUUUCGAAUCGUAAAGCUCUGUCCUAUGGGAAGAUAAUGACGGUACCAUAGGAGGAAGCUCCGGCUAACUACGUGCCAGCAGCCGCGGUAAUACGUAGGGGGCGAGCGUUGUCCGGAAUUACUGGGCGUAAAGGGUUCGCAGGCGGCAUGACAAGUCUGAUGUAAAAGGCGAAAGCUCAACUUUCGUAAGCAUCGGAAACUGUCAAGCUUGAGUCAAGGAGAGGCAAGUGGAAUUCCUAGUGUAACGGUAGAAUGCGUAGAUAUUAGGAUGAAUCCCGGUGGCGAAGGAGAAUUGCUGGUCUUCAACUGACGCUGAGGAACGAAAGAGUGGGUAGCAAACAGG
rnacentral:rRNA from 1 species